CGAACGGGAUGCUUAGGCAUCUAGUGGCGGACGGGUGAGUAACGCGUGAGAAUCUGGCUCCAGGUCGGGGAUAACAGUUGGAAACGACUGCUAAUACCGGAUGUGCCGAGAGGUGAAAGAUUUAUUGCCUGGAGAUGAGCUCGCGUCUGAUUAGCUAGUUGGUGGUGUAAGGGACCACCAAGGCGUCGAUCAGUAGCUGGUCUGAGAGGAUGAUCAGCCACACUGGGACUGAGACACGGCCCAGACUCCUACGGGAGGCAGCAGUGGGGAAUUUUCCGCAAUGGGCGAAAGCCUGACGGAGCAAUACCGCGUGAGGGAGGAAGGCUCUUGGGUCGUAAACCUCUUUUCUCAAGGAAGAAGAAAGUGACGGUACUUGAGGAAUAAGCAUCGGCUAACUCCGUGCCAGCAGCCGCGGUAAUACGGAGGAUGCAAGCGUUAUCCGGAAUGAUUGGGCGUAAAGGGUCUGCAGGUGGAACUGAAAGUCUGCUGUUAAAGAGUUUGGCUUAACCAAAUAAAAGCGGUGGAAACUACAGAACUAGAGUGUGGUAGGGGCAAAAGGAAUUCCUGGUGUAGCGGUGAAAUGCGUAGAUAUCAGGAAGAACACCGGUGGCGAAAGCGUUUUGCUAGACCAUAACUGACACUGAGGGACGAAAGCUAGGGGAGCGAAUGGGAUUAGAUACCCCAGUAGUCCUAGCCGUAAACGAUGGAUACUAGGCGUGGCUUGUAUCGACCCGAGCCGUGCCGGAGCUAACGCGUUAAGUAUCCCGCCUGGGGAGUACGCACGCAAGUGUGAAACUCAAAGGAAUUGACGGGGGCCCGCACAAGCGGUGGAGUAUGUGGUUUAAUUCGAUGCAACGCGAAGAACCUUACCAAGACUUGACAUCCUGCGAAUCCUGGUGAAAGCUGGGAGUGCCUUAGGGAGCGCAGAGACAGGUGGUGCAUGGCUGUCGUCAGCUCGUGUCGUGAGAUGUUGGGUUAAGUCCCGCAACGAGCGCAACCCUCGUUUUUAGUUGCCAGCAUUAAGUUGGGCACUCUAGAGAGACUGCCGGUGACAAACCGGAGGAAGGUGAGGAUGACGUCAAGUCAGCAUGCCCCUUACGUCUUGGGCUACACACGUACUACAAUGCUACGGACAGAGGGCAGCGAGCCAGGGAUGGCAAGCGAAUCCAGAAACCGUAGCUCAGUUCAGAUCGAAGGCUGCAACUCGCCUUCGUGAAGGAGGAAUCGCUAGUAAUUGCAGGUCAGCAUACUGCAGUGAAUUCGUUCCCGGGCCUUGUACACACCGCCCGUCACACCAUGGAAGUUGGUCACGCCCGAAGUCAUUACCCCAACCGAAAGGAGGGGGAUGCCUAAGGUAGGACUGGUGACUGGGGUGAAGUCGUAACAAGGUAGCCGUACCGGAAGGUGUGGCUGGAUCACCUCCUUU
rnacentral:rRNA from 1 species